UACGGAGGAUGCAAGCGUUAUCCGGAAUGAUUGGGCGUAAAGCGUCCGCAGAUGGCAAUGUAAGUCUGCUGUCAAAGCGUCUGGCUCAACCAGAUAAAGGCAGUGGAAACUACAUAGCUAGAGUAAGGUAGGGGUAGAGGGAAUUCCUGGUGUAGCGGUGAAAUGCGUAGAGAUCAGGAAGAACACCGGUGGCGAAAGCGCUCUGCUGGACCUUAACUGACACUGAGGGACGAAAGCUAGGGGAGCGAAUGGG
rnacentral:rRNA from 1 species